rnacentral:rRNA from 1 species
UGCUUCGGAAUCUGCCCUUCAGUGGGGAAUAACCAGUCGAAAGAUUGGCUAAUACCGCAUACGAACUACGGUUGAAAGCAGGGGAUCGCAAGACCUUGCGCUGAUGGAUGAGCCGAAGUCGGAUUAGCUUGUUGGUGGGGUAACGGCCUACCAAGGCGGACGAUCCGUAGCUGGUCUGAGAGGACGACCAGCCACACUGGGACUGAGACACGGCCCAG